rnacentral:rRNA from 1 species
GACGAACGCUGGCGGCGUGCUUAACACAUGCAAGUCGAACGGAAAGGCCCUGCUUUUGUGGGGUGCUCGAGUGGCGAACGGGUGAGUAACACGUGAGUAACCUGCCCUUGACUUUGGGAUAACUUCAGGAAACUGGGGCUAAUACCGGAUAGGAGCUCCUGCUGCAUGGUGGGGGUUGGAAAGUUUCGGCGGUUGGGGAUGGACUCGCGGCUUAUCAGCUUGUUGGUGGGGUAGUGGCUUACCAAGGCUGUGACGGGUAGCCGGCCUGAGAGGGUGACCGGCCACAUUGGGACUGAGAUACGGCCCAGACUCCUACGGGAGGCAGCAGUGGGGAAUAUUGCACAAUGGGCGGAAGCCUGAUGCAGCGACGCCGCGUGCGGGAUGACGGCCUUCGGGUUGUAAACCGCUUUCGCCUGUGACGAAGCGUGAGUGACGGUAAUGGGUGAAGAAGCACCGGCUAACUACGUG